rnacentral:rRNA from 1 species
UCCCGAGUGCUUGCACUCAAUUGGAAAGAGGAGUGGCGGACGGGUGAGUAACACGUGGGUAACCUACCCAUCAGAGGGGGAUAACACUUGGAAACAGGUGCUAAUACCGCAUAACAGUUUAUGCCGCAUGGCAUAAGAGUGAAAGGCGCUUUCGGGUGUCGCUGAUGGAUGGACCCGCGGUGCAUUAGCUAGUUGGUGAGGUAACGGCUCACCAAGGCCACGAUGCAUAGCCGACCUGAGAGGGUGAUCGGCCACACUGGGACUGAGACACGGCCCAGACUCCUACGGGAGGCAGCAGUAGGGAAUCUUCGGCAAUGGACGAAAGUCUGACCGAGCAACGCCGCGUGAGUGAAGAAGGUUUUCGGAUCGUAAAACUCUGUUGUUAGAGAAGAACAAGGACGUUAGUAACUGAACGUCCCCUGACGGUAUCUAACCAGAAAGCCACGGCUAACUACGUGCCAGCAGCCGCGGUAAUACGUAGGUGGCAAGCGUUGUCCGGAUUUAUUGGGCGUAAAGCGAGCGCAGGCGGUUUCUUAAGUCUGAUGUGAAAGCCCCCGGCUCAACCGGGGAGGGUCAUUGGAAACUGGGAGACUUGAGUGCAGAAGAGGAGAGUGGAAUUCCAUGGGUGUAACCGG